rnacentral:rRNA from 1 species
GACGAACGCUGGCGGCGUGCUUAACACAUGCAAGUCGAACGAUGAACCAGGGCUUGCCCUGGGGAUUAGUGGCGAACGGGUGAGUAACACGUGGGCAACCUGCCCCAGACACCGGGAUAACCUCUCGAAAGAGUGGCUAAUACCGGAUACGACCACUUUGGGCAUCCAACGGUGGUGGAAAGGAUUCUGGUCUGGGAUGGGCCCGCGGCCUAUCAGCUUGUUGGUGGGGUAAUGGCCUACCAAGGCGACGACGGGUAGCCGGCCUGAGAGGGCGACCGGCCACACUGGGACUGAGACACGGCCCAGACUCCUACGGGAGGCAGCAGUGGGGAAUAUUGCUCAAUGGGCGAAAGCCUGACGCAGCGACGCCGCGUGAGGGACGAAGGUCUUCGGAUUGUAAACCUCUUUCAGCAGGGACGAAGCGAAAGUGACUGUACCUGCAGAAGAAGCACCGGCUAACUACGUGCCAGCCGCCGCUGUAACAC